GACGAACGCUGGCGGCGUGCCUAAUACAUGCAAGUCGAACGCUGAAGGAGGAGCUUGCUUCUCUGGAUGAGUUGCGAACGGGUGAGUAACGCGUAGGUAACCUGCCUGGUAGCGGGGGAUAACUAUUGGAAACGAUAGCUAAUACCGCAUAAGAGUAGAUGUUGCAUGACAUUUGCUUAAAAGGUGCAAUUGCAUCACUACCAGAUGGACCUGCGUUGUAUUAGCUAGUUGGUGAGGUAACGGCUCACCAAGGCGACGAUACAUAGCCGACCUGAGAGGGUGAUCGGCCACACUGGGACUGAGACACGGCCCAGACUCCUACGGGAGGCAGCAGUAGGGAAUCUUCGGCAAUGGACGGAAGUCUGACCGAGCAACGCCGCGGGAGUGAAGAAGGGUGUCGGAUCGUAAAGCUCGGUUGUAAGAGAAGAACGAGUGUGAGAGUGGAAAGUUCACACUGUGACGGUAGCUGACCAGAAAGGGACGGCUAACUACGUG
rnacentral:rRNA from 1 species